CGCCAGACCCGCCGAAGCCCCUGGGCGUCUCGGCGGCCCGAGGACUCGCCGGCUGGUUGGCCGGGGCGGGACGGCCGCGAAUCAUCUGGCCUCCGGGAGAGCGCCGGACGUCCCCGGGCUGCGAGGGACCCGGAAAAUAAAGCGGCCAAGAAACUUUAUUUUCCUCGCUGCUAUUUCCGUCACUUAAUGUUUCUCUAAGGAACGCGUGCGAACUACCCUUAGACUUCACUGUUGCUCUGAUGUCGUUUGUGAUGUGUCUGCCAUCGCCCUGCCUGACAAAUAAUUAAACACACACAGUACUUUUAUCAUCUGGCAAAUCUGCUUGACUCCACCAGCAAAGGCCAAACUCACUCCUUCCUUUCUUAUCGCAAGGCUCAAAAACAACAGGAGUAGAAGCAGUCUUUAUUUUAACUCGGUUUUGCCCCGAUUUGAUUCUAACCACUCUACACAGAAGGAAAGGCCUCCAUGACCCACCAGGAACCCCUUGACCUUGGAUCUGUUGCACCUGCUGCUGAAGCUGAGGUUGUCACGAUCACCUUCCAAAAUGCCUUGGAGCAUUUAUGACAGGGAACCUCCUUCUCUUGCCCCUGGAACCGUAUUUAACUCUAUGGGAGGAGGCAAGGGAUAUUGAGCGAGGCUCAGUGAGACACUAAAUGUAAA